rnacentral:rRNA from 1 species
UGAGGAAUAUUGGUCAAUGGACGCAAGUCUGAACCAGCCAAGUAGCGUGCAGGAUGACGGCCCUAUGGGUUGUAAACUGCUCUUAUAUGGGGAUAAAGUGGGGAACGUGUUCCCUUUUGCAGGUACCAUAUGAAUAAGGACCGGCUAAUUCCGUGCCAGCAGCCGCGGUAAUACGGAAGGUUCGGGCGUUAUCCGGAUUUAUAUGGUUUAAAGGGAGCGUAGGCCGUUUGGUAAGCGUGUUGUGAAAUGUAGGAGCUCAACUUCUAGAUUGCAGCGCGAACUGUCAGACUUGAGUGCGCACAACGUAGGCGGAAUUCAUGGUGUAGCGGUGAAAUGCUUAGAUAUCAUGAAGAACUCCGAUUGCGAAGGCAGCUUACGGGAGCGCAACUGACGCUGAAGCUCGAAGGUGCGGGUAUCGAACAGG